rnacentral:rRNA from 1 species
GAAAUGCGAUAAGUAAUGUGAAUUGCAGAAUUCAGUGAAUCAUCGAAUCUUUGAACGCACCUUGCGCUCCUUGGUAUUCCGAGGAGCAUGCCUGUUUGAGUGUCAUGAAAUUCUCAACCUACAAGCCUUUUCGGAGGUCCUUGUACGGCUUGGACUUGGAGGGUCAUUGUCGGCAGUGAUGUCGGCUCCUCUUAAACGCAUUAGCUAGUUCUCGCGGAACGGCUUUYGGUGUGAUAAUUGUCUACGCCGUGGUCGUGCCGGGUAUAUGGGCAAGCUUCUAAACCGUCACUCCUUGUGAGGGACACAUAUCUUGACAUCUGACCUCAAAUCAGGUAGGACUACCCGCUGAACUUAA